rnacentral:misc_RNA from 1 species
GAACGCACAUUGCACUCCUUUGGAGUAUGCCUGUUUGUGAAUCUAUAGUAUUUAUUUCUGGGUUACUUUUAUUAGUACUCUGAAGAUUUGAGAUGUCUCCCCGCAAGGGCGAGUAUCUUUAAAAUUAUAGCCUCUUUUGUGGUAAAUUAACUCUGCAGAACAGUAUUUGAAUGGAACCUUGGUUUCUCAUAAUGCCCAAUACGCAGACUUACCUAUUGAAAAGGGGGUCCAUAACCUAAAGUCUGGCGUUAAAACCAGACUUGAACCAUGGUCUCAAAUCAGGUAGGAAGACCCGCUGAACUUAAG